GGGCCUUUUAUAGCUGACUAUGCGGUAUGGACUUUGCUCAUUGUUGAAGGCCGUACGGUGACCCAUAGUUGUUAAUUUCUGUGUCAUUUUGGUCUCUUGUGGACGGUUGUCUCAUUGGCAAUCAUACCACAUCUUCUUUUUUAUAUUAUGAUAAUAAUCUUGAUAAAAGGAUGCCAGAGUGGUAAUUCAAAACAAACUAACAGAC
rnacentral:lncRNA from 1 species